rnacentral:rRNA from 1 species
CAGUAGCCGCGGGAAUACGUAGGUGGCAAGCGUUGUCCGGAAUUAUUGGGCGUAAAGGGCUCGCAGGCGGUUUCUUAAGUCUGAUGUGAAAGCCCCCGGCUCAACCGGGGAGGGUCAUUGGAAACUGGGAAACUUGAGUGCAGAAGAGGAGAGUGGAAUUCCACGUGUAGCGGUGAAAUGCGUAGAGAUGUGGAGGAACACCAGUGGCGAAGGCGACUCUCUGGUCUGUAACUGACGCUGAGGAGCGAAAGCGUGGGGAGCAAACAGGAUUAGAUACCCCUGUAGUCCCUGUCUCUUAUAC